rnacentral:rRNA from 1 species
UACAGAGGGUGCAAGCGUUAAUCGGAAUUACUGGGCGUAAAGCGUGCGUAGGCGGUUACAUAAGUCGGGUGUGAAAGCCCCGGGCUCAACCUGGGAAUUGCAUUCGAGACUGCGUAGCUAGGGUGCGGAAGAGGGAAGCGGAAUUUCCGGUGUAGCGGUGAAAUGCGUAGAUAUCGAGAGGAACACCUGCGGCGAAGGCGGGUAGCUGGGCCGACACUGACGCUGAGGCGCGAAAGCCAGGGGAGCGAACGGG